GCCCGCCUAGCUCAAUCGGAUAGAGCGUCAGACUUUUAUGCAUAGGGGUAAUUGAAAGUACGAAAUCUGAAGGCUGCGAGUUCGACCCUCGCGGUGGGCU